UACAGAGGGGGCAAGCGUUAUUCGGAAUUAUUGGGCGUAAAGGGCGCGUAGGCGGCCUGGCAAGUGGAAGGUGAAAUCCCUCGGCUUAACCGAGGAACUGCCCUCCAAACUGCUUGGCUUGAGUCCGGGAGAGGUGAGUGGAAUUCCCAGUGUAGCGGUGAAAUGCGUAGAUAUUGGGAGGAACACCGGUGGCGAAGGCGGCAUCCUGGACCAACACUGACACUGAGGAGCGAAAGCCAGGGGAGCAAACGGG
rnacentral:rRNA from 1 species